AGAGUUUGAUCCUGGCUCAGGACGAACGCUGGCGGCGCGCCUAACACAUGCAAGUCGAACGGAAUCAAGAGGAGCUUGCUUUUCUUGAUUUAGUGGCGAACGGGUGAGUAACGCGUGAGUAACCUGCCCUGGAGUGGGGGACAACAGUUGGAAACGACUGCUAAUACCGCAUAAGCCCACGGUACCGCAUGGUACUGAGGGAAAAGGAUUUAUUCGCUUCAGGAUGGACUCGCGUCCAAUUAGCUAGUUGGUGAGGUAACGGCCCACCAAGGCGACGAUUGGUAGCCGGACUGAGAGGUUGAACGGCCACAUUGGGACUGAGACACGGCCCAGACUCCUACGGGAGGCAGCAGUGGGGGAUAUUGCACAAUGGGGGAAACCCUGAUGCAGCGACGCCGCGUGGAGGAAGAAGGUCUUCGGAUUGUAAACUCCUGUUGUUGAGGAAGAUAAUGACGGUACUCAACAAGGAAGUGACGGCUAACUACGUGCCAGCAGCCGCGGUAAAACGUAGGUCACAAGCGUUGUCCGGAAUUACUGGGUGUAAAGGGAGCGCAGGCGGGAAGACAAGUUGGAAGUGAAAUCCAUGGGCUCAACCCAUGAACUGCUUUCAAAACUGUUUUUCUUGAGUAGUGCAGAGGUAGGCGGAAUUCCCGGUGUAGCGGUGGAAUGCGUAGAUAUCGGGAGGAACACCAGUGGCGAAGGCGACCUACUGGGCACCAACUGACGCUGAGGCUCGAAAGCAUGGGUAGCAAACAGGAUUAGAUACCCUGGUAGUCCAUGCCGUAAACGAUGAUUACUAGGUGUUGGAGGAUUGACCCCUUCAGUGCCGCAGUUAACACAAUAAGUAAUCCACCUGGGGAGUACGACCGCAAGGUUGAAACUCAAAGGAAUUGACGGGGGCC
rnacentral:rRNA from 1 species